rnacentral:rRNA from 1 species
AACACGUGGGCAAUCUGCCCUUCACUCUGGGACAAGCCCUGGAAACGGGGUCUAAUACCGGAUGAUACUUCCACUCGCAUGGGUGGGGGUUGAAAGCUCCGGCGGUGAAGGAUGAGCCCGCGGCCUAUCAGCUUGUUGGUGAGGUAGUGGCUCACCAAGGCGACGACGGGUAGCCGGCCUGAGAGGGCGACCGGCCACACUGGGACUGAGACACGGCCCAGACUCCUACGGGAGGCAGCAGUGGGGAAUAUUGCACAAUGGGCGAAAGCCUGAUGCAGCGACGCCGCGUGAGGGAUGACGGCCUUCGGGUUGUAAACCUCUUUCAGCAGGGAAGAAGCGAAAGUGACGGUACCUGCAGAAGAAGCGCCGGCUAACUACGUGCCAGCAGCCGCGGUAAUACGUAGGGCGCAAGCGUUGUCCGGAAUUAUUGGGCGUAAAGAGCUCGUAGGCGGCUUGUCACGUCGGGUGUGAAAGCCCGGGGCUUAACCCCGGGUCUGCAUUCGAUACGGGCUAGCUAGAGUGUGGUAGGGGAGAUCGGAAUUCCUGGUGUAGCGGUGAAAUGCGCAGAUAUCAGGAGGAACACCGGUGGCGAAGGCGGAUCUCUGGGCCAUUACUGACGCUGAGGAGCGAAAGCGUGGGGAGCGAACAGGAUUAGAUACCCUGGUAGUCCACGCCGUAAACGGUGGGAACUAGGUG